rnacentral:lncRNA from 1 species
CUAUUGACAACAUGAUCCCCCAUGUGGCACUGGGUAAGCUUUUAACCAUUUUGUUAUUGGCCCCCAUUUAACCUCCGCAAAAAAGACAAAGGCAACAAUUUAGCCAUCCGCUGCACGCCUCCACACAGCACCUGGGAGAAACAUCAUUUUAAGUUUAUGAAGGGAGCAGAAUGUUGGCAAGAGGCGAUGAGAUAUUUGGUGCGCUUCCAAACAGGUUCUAGCGUUGAAACGACGGACGAUGACAAGAAGAGAAAGAGAAAGAGAAUCUCAAAUUCCAAGUACAGACCCCAGGCCUCUUCUGAUGAAGAGGAGUCUAGUCUUCCAGAUGCACCAGCAGUGCUGUCGUUUGGGCAACCUCUUUUGAGCUUUGAAAACAUUGUUCCUGGUAACAAGGUUUCAGUGCUGCCCGAUGCUCCAGAAGUUGCAUCGAUUCCAGAAAACCAGGAAAAUGUUGUGCCAUCUGUAGACUUCAGAGGUGAACCAGGUUUCUCCCCAGAAAUUCAGACUCCACUUCACAGAGCCAAGAGUUUGAGUACAAGAGAAAGUCAUCGCUCUGUAAUUGGCCCUUGGACUCCCCUGGCAUCUCGUGUACAGCAUGAAGUUUUCAGCUAUGAAGAUUUCCAGAGACUCCAGAAUGAAAAACAAGCCGUGAUGGAGGAGAACCAAGCCCUUAGGGAGGAGAACCAAGCUCUGAGGGAGGAGAACCAAGCUCUGAGGGAAAGCACUGCACGAGCAGCUUCGGAUGACAGCGGCUCACUUCAAGAGCAGGUGAAGCAAGUUGGGACAAUGUUGAAGACGUUUGCUCGCACUGGGCAAUCAGGUGCAGAUCAGACCUUAAUGCUGCGACGUCUUGGAGAGUUUGGCGAUGUUGUGCGUAGCAUGGACAACAAAAUGGACACUAUGCUGCAACAUUUCAGUGCCAAUGUGUCUGUUGGAGAGUUAUCCCUGCCAGGGGAUCUGUUACUCCCCCUAGACACCCAGGAAGAUUUGGUGUUGCUUGACAACAGUUUGAGGCAGGAUAAAGAGCUCCAGGAACGAUUUGUAAGUGUGCUGAUUUCGUUUAUAACUCCAUAGGGUAAUCUAAAAAGUAGAAUUAAGAUUGUACACUGCAUAUUCUACAGUCUGAAUCCAUAGCCUGUCACAUUUUAUAUUUAUGUAUGAUAAGCUUCAGAGAAAUGUAAUUUGUAACACUUUUUUUGGAUUUUCAGCUUCGGUUUUUGGCAAUCAAAUGUGGGAGGGACCUAAAGACAACCGUCUGGCGGAUGCUUCAAAGUAUCUUCUCUAAUCACCUUUCCAUCAAUACAACCUGGACUGGAGUUGGGGAUAAAGCAUGUUUUAGAGACAUGUUCCUGAAGACCAUUGUUCAAAGUAAGUUGGAUGUAAAAAAAAAAAAAAAAAAAAAAAAAUAUGUUUAGUAGAUGUGUAUGGCAUUAUGCCAUUCAAAUGGAAUGACAGAUCUGUAUUUUCUACAGGAGCCAUCCGGAAGAACCCGGCAACACAGGAUGCCACUGAUGAAGCCAUCCAGGUUAACGUUACGCGUUACCUGAAAGGAGCAUCUGACCGUGAAGGCGGAAAAAGGCGCCGCACAGCUGAGAGGGACCCACAGCCGACCCCUUAAACCUAGGCUGACUACUGACAUCCCAGCAUCACUGACAACUGGAACCCUUUCUUUAUCCUGCAGUCAGUAACAUCAAGACCCCUAAAGAAGCCAGAAGUGUCAGACUGCACUCCCCAAUCCACACUGUUCACUGUGGAUAUUAUCAUAGUGCUUAACUUAUUAUAUUGUUAAAUAUAGCUUGUAAAUCCUUGUGCCACAGGUCAGCAUUGCAGUUAUAUCUGUUCUACUACUUUUUUUACCUCAGUAUUUUUUAUAUAUAUUUGAAGAUGUUUAUCACAGAUACAAGAGACAUCUUGUACCCCAGGUCAGCAAUGCCAUUAUAAUGGUCUAUUCUACUCCAGAGCUUUAUUCUAAAUUAUUACCACUUAUCUUAUUGUUAGAAAUGGCUUGUAAAUGUGAUGUUAUACCUGAAUUUUUUUUGGUGUCCUGCACAUUCUUUGGUACCAGAUAUACUCAUUACUUAUGUUUUCUGGUAAUUCUUUUCAUGCCAGAGCUGACCUCUUUAUAUUAUUAACAAUUAUUGUAAGUGUUAUAAUUUGCUUGUAAGCUAAGGCUGUUUUUUUUUUUUUUUUACAAUUUAAUUGGAAACCUGCAUGUGUGUGUGUGUGUGUGUGUGUGUGUGUGUGUAUUUAUUUUAUUUUUUUCUCUUUUUUUCUGUUAUUUAUAUUUCAGGGAUCUGACAUCAUGUUUCAAUGACAGUUACUGUACUUUGAAAUGUGGAAUUAAAACGUCAAAUGGAAAUUUGUCUGGUUUGAUCAAUCAUUAUUCUUGAUAAACUGCAUUAUAUAUAUAAUAUAUAAUAUAUAUAUAAAUAAAUAAAUAAGCAAGCGGCGACCGAUCGCUCGAAAAUAGCGUUUGCCUCCGACGGGCCGCGGAAGGGUCGCCUUUGAUAUAACGGCGGCGGGACGGCGGUUGGCCCGCGGGCCGGCCGCGGAACGAAGGCGGUAGGAAGGCGGCUGCCGCUUCUAAAAAGCGGCUGCCGCCGGCGGUGCACCGUCAAACGUGUUUGCGAUUACGCUAUUCUGACGCUUCUACUGCCGCCGGAGCGCCGCCGGCGGUCCGCCGACUCAUUGCUAUCUGGGAUGUCACAGAACUCUUCCCGCGCUCUCCGUCAGAAUUCAAACAUUAACGGUCGAACUUGGCGGCUGUUCGCUUUCUUAUGUGUGAUUAUUUUCAUAUAACGUUUUGGGCACUUCCAUUUUAACAAAUAAAGUGAAAGUACCACAAAACAUGAAACGAAGAUGUCUUGGACGAGGAGAGCUCGUCCAAAUUUGUGGUAAGAAAUAAUAUCCUUUUAUUAUCAUAGUUAAGCUUAAUCGCGUUUGUGAACGUUACGUAAUUUGGAGCAAUUUAUUUAAUGAAAGUAGGUGUAUUCUGGUCGUCAUCGUGGACAUUGUGUCUCCACCAUUAUGCUUUUCAUCACUUAAAGGUCUUCAGGAUGUAAUUUUGAUUAAAUUUGGGCUUUGUCUGAUUCAAGGUAAUGUUAUACCCUCACUAAUCGCGAUGCGCUGUAUAAAUCCCCUUCAGACAUAGUAAACGGAU